UACGUAGGGUGCAAGCGUUGUCCGGAAUUAUUGGGCGUAAAGAGCUCGUAGGCGGUUCGUCACGUCGGCUGUGAAAUCCCGAGGCUCAACCUCGGGUCUGCAGUCGAUACGGGCGGACUUGAGUACUGCAGGGGAGACUGGAAUUCCUGGUGUAGCGGUGAAAUGCGCAGAUAUCAGGAGGAACACCGGUGGCGAAGGCGGGUCUCUGGGCCGUUACUGACGCUGAGGAGCGAAAGCGUGGGGAGCGAACAGG
rnacentral:rRNA from 1 species